UACGUAGGGUGCGAGCGUUGUCCGGAAUUACUGGGCGUAAAGAGCUCGUAGGUGGUUUGUCGCGUCGUCUGUGAAAUUCCGGGGCUUAACUUCGGGCGUGCAGGCGAUACGGGCAUAACUUGAGUGCUGUAGGGGAGACUGGAAUUCCUGGUGUAGCGGUGGAAUGCGCAGAUAUCAGGAGGAACACCGAUGGCGAAGGCAGGUCUCUGGGCAGUAACUGACGCUGAGGAGCGAAAGCAUGGGGAGCGAACAGGAUUAGAUACCCGUGUAGUCC
rnacentral:rRNA from 1 species